UGUGUGGGUGUAGCGGAAGUGGAUUGGAAUGUCCUGCCGUAGACGGUGAGAGUCCGGUACGUGAAACACCCGUGCGUGCAAUUGGUGUGUUGCCCGAGUAGCAGCGGGCUCGUGGAAUCUGCUGUGAAUCUGCCGGGACCACCCGGUAAGCCUAAAUACCUGCUUAUGACCGAUAGCGGAUUAGUACCGUGAGGGAAUGGUGAAAAGUACCCCGGGAGGGGAGUGAAAUAGUACCUGAAACCAUGUGCUUACAAUCCGUCAGAGCCCUUUUUUGUGGGGUGAUGGCGUGCCUUUUGAAGAAUGAGCCUGCGAGUCAGCGGCAUGUCGCGAGGUUAACCCGUUUGGUGGGGUAGUCGUAGCGAAAGCGAAUACUAACUAGUGUGUUGUCAGUGGCAUGUCCUGGACCCGAAGCGGGGUGAUCUACCCAUGGCCAGUGUGAAGCAGAGGUAAGACUCUGUGGAGGCGCGAACCCACUUAGGUUGAAAACUGAGGGGAUGAGUUGUGGGUAGGGGUGAAAGGCCAAUCAAACUCCGUGAUAGCUGGUUCUCCCCGAAAUGCAUUUAGGUGCAGCGUCGUGUGUUUCCUCCUGGAGGUAGAGCUACUGGUUGGUUUAGCGGGACUAUCAUCUUAGCGACAUCAGCCAAACUCCGAAUGCCGGUGAGGUCAGAGCACGGCAGUGAGACUGCGGGGGAUAAGCUUCGUAGUCGAGAGGGAAACAGCCCAGAUCGCCGGCUAAGGCCCCUAAGGGUGUGCUAAGUGGAAAAGGAUGUGGGAUCGCGAAGACAACCAGGAGGUUGGCUUAGAAGCAGCCAUCCUUGAAAGAGUGCGUAAUAGCUCACUGGUCGAGUGGUUCUGCGCCGACAAUGUAGUGGGGCUCAAGUACACCGCCGAAGC
rnacentral:rRNA from 1 species